rnacentral:rRNA from 1 species
GACGAACGCUGGCGGCGUGCUUAACACAUGCAAGUCGAACGGGCUCCGGGCUUUCGGGUUUGGCGAGAGUGGCGAACGGGUGAGUAACUAGUGAGUAACCAGCCCCCUUAUUUGGGUUAACGACGGUAAAUCAGCGCUAAUUCUGGAUGUUCUUGCUUCUUAGCAUGAUGUUGUUUGGAAAGUAUUUCGUGUUGGGGUUGGGCUCGCGGGCUAUCGGCGUGUGGGUAGGGUGAUGGAAUACAAAGGCUUUGACGGGUAGCCGGCCUGAGACGGUGUCCGGCCACACUGAGACAGGGACACGACCCAGACGCGUGAGGGAAGUAGCAGAGGUGAAGAUAGGACAAUGAGCGUAAGCCUGAUGCAGCGACGCAGUGUGAAGGAUGACCGGCUUCUGAUUGUAAGCCUCUUUCAGUAUGGAACAAUGUACCUACUUGUGGGGGGUUUGACGGUACGUACAGAAGAAGCGCCGGCUAACUACGUG